UACGUAGGGUGCGAGCGUUGCCCGGAUUUAUUGGGCGUAAAGGGCUCGUAGGCGGCCUGUCGCGUCGGGAGUGAAAGCCCACUGCUUAACGGUGGGUCUGCUUCCGGUACGGGCGGGCUGGAGUAUGGCAGGGGAGACUGGAAUUCCUGGUGUAGCGGUGGAAUGCGCAGAUAUCAGGAGGAACACCGGUGGCGAAGGCGGGUCUCUGGGCCAUUACUGACGCUGAGGAGCGAAAGCGUGGGGAGCGAACAGG
rnacentral:rRNA from 1 species